GCAUCUAUACUGUGAAACUGCGAAUGGCUCAUUAAAUCAGUUAUCGUUUAUUUGAUAGUACCUUACUACUUGGAUAACCGUGGUAAUUCUAGAGCUAAUACAUGCUAAAAACCCCGACUUCGGGAGGGGUGUAUUUAUUAGAUAAAAAACCAAUGCCCUUCGGGGCUCCUUGGUGAUUCAUGAUAACUUAACGAAUCGCAUGGCCUUGCGCCGGCGAUGGUUCAUUCAAAUUUCUGCCCUAUCAACUUUCGAUGGUAGGAUAGUGGCCUACCAUGGUAUCAACGGGUAACGGGGAAUUAGGGUUCUAUUCCGGAGAGGGAGCCUGAGAAACGGCUACCACAUCCAAGGAAGGCAGCAGGCGCGCAAAUUACCCAAUCCCGACACGGGGAGGUAGUGACAAUAAAUACUGAUACAGGGCUCUUUCGGGUCUUGUAAUUGGAAUGAGUACAAUUUAAAUACCUUAACGAGGAACAAUUGGAGGGCAAGUCUGGUGCCAGCAGCCGCGGUAAUUCCAGCUCCAAUAGCGUAUAUUAAAGUUGUUGCAGUUAAAAAGCUCGUAGUUGAACCUUGGGCCUGGCUGGCCGGUCCGCCUCACCGCGUGUACUGGUCCGGCCGGGCCUUUCCUUCUGGGGAUCCGCAUGCCCUUCACUGGGUGUGUCGGGGAACCAGGACUUUUACUUUGAAAAAAUUAGAGUGUUCAAAGCAGGCCUUUGCUCGAAUACAUUAGCAUGGAAUAAUAGAAUAGGACGUGCGGUCCUAUUUUGUUGGUUUCUAGGACCGCCGUAAUGAUUAAUAGGGAUAGUCGGGGGCAUCAGUAUUCAAUUGUCAGAGGUGAAAUUCUUGGAUUUAUUGAAGACUAACUACUGCGAAAGCAUUUGCCAAGGAUGUUUUCAUUAAUCAGUGAACGAAAGUUAGGGGAUCGAAGACGAUCAGAUACCGUCGUAGUCUUAACCGUAAACUAUGCCGACUAGGGAUCGGGCGAUGUUAUUCUUUUGACUCGCUCGGCACCUUACGAGAAAUCAAAGUC
rnacentral:rRNA from 1 species